UUAUGAGUAGACACAGCACAAGAGAAAAGUUCAGCUCAGUGGUUCUCGAAAUGCAGUCUCUGGAUUAACAUUUGCACAACUGGGAACUUAAAAGUGCAAAUUAUACCUGUGGAUUCGACUCUGACCUACUGAAUAAGAGCUCUGCAGGACUGACAAUCAUUGAAGAGCAAUCUCUGGAUUAAAAAAAAAAACAAAUACAGUAAAGGAUAUGCUGAGAGGCUUUAGGGAUGUAAAAUAAAUGUGUGUGUGCAGAUUAAUAUCCAUAAAGUAAAGGCCCACAUGCUGCACCCUAACUGAAGAUUUUCCUCAGAGCCCUACAGUCAGAGGCACCAUCCUGUCACCAGACUCGUGGGGAGCUGCGUCAAGCAUCAGCAAUCAGUGGUGUGCUCUCACUGGCUUUCCCCGGGAAGUGAAUAAUCAGGGCAACCGAGAUUUCAGAGAUCAUUCAGUUCCAGUCUCACUGUUUUACAGAUGAGGAGACUGACAACCGGAGAGGAGCGAGCGAUGACUUUACUCAAGCUGUAACCCUGGCCUCUGAUCUGUGUGAUACUUCACGCUGUGGGUAGAGACAUGAGGUACAGCUUCUGCCCUCAAGACACUCUGACACAUGCCAGAAAGAAAAAUGCUGCUAUCGUGGGAUGA